rnacentral:rRNA from 1 species
UGGGGAAUCUUAGACAAUGGGCGCAAGCCUGAUCUAGCCAUGCCGCGUGUGUGAUGAAGGUCUUAGGAUCGUAAAGCACUUUCGCCAGGGAUGAUAAUGACAGUACCUGGUAAAGAAACCCCGGCUAACUCCGUGCCAGCAGCCGCGGUAAUACGGAGGGGGUUAGCGUUGUUCGGAAUUACUGGGCGUAAAGCGUACGUAGGCGGAUUGGAAAGUUGGGGGUGAAAUCCCAGGGCUCAACCCUGGAACUGCCUCCAAAACUAUCAGUCUAGAGUUCGAGAGAGGUGAGUGGAAUUCCAAGUGUAGAGGUGAAAUUCGUAGAUAUUUGGAGGAACACCAGUGGCGAAGGCGGCUCACUGGCUCGAUACUGACGCUGAGGUACGAAAGUGUGGGGAGCAAACAGGAUUAGAUACCCUGGUAGUCCACACCGUAAACGAUGAAUGCCAGUCGUCGGGCAGUAUACUGUUCGGUGACACACCUAACGGAUUAAGCAUUCCGCCUGGGGAGUACGGUCGCAAGAUUA